AGGGGUACCUCGCGGCUCGCACGCCUCGCGCGAGACCCAGCUGCAAGAACGACACACAAUAACCAUCUCCGUCGCCGCCACCGCUGCCACUGUCUCCAUCGGAAACCUGAUUCCGCUUCUUCCUAGGGCUAGCUGGCCAUCUCCCCCGAGGAAAAUAUACAUGGACGCAAGUAGCGAAUUUAACUUGGUGCAAGCUGCAAGGGGAAGGAAAGUUGCACUUGGAGCAAAACUGGAUUCGCGAAAGAUUACCAAAAGGGAUUCUCCAAUUGAAAUCCAGAGCCCAAUGGAAUCUAGAACUUGAAAAGGCUUUGGUGAAGAUACUUCUUCAGCACAAUACUCCUUAUCACCGAGGGCGGAAUGGUGAAAUUUGGAAUAUGAUAGUUGGAAUAUUCCAUGCUAGACAUAGUUAUGUCAAAUUCUCAAAGUCCCAAGUUCAAGAGAAGGAAAAGGAAUUGAAGAGAGACUAUAAAAUGCUAAAGGAGGCACGUAAACAAAGUGGAGUUGAUUGGGAUGAAAUUUGGUGCAUGAUACAAGCAGAUGAACGUCUUUGGGAUGAGCUGACGACUGUAAAUGCUUUCCUCCUAAUUUCAGUAUUGGACUAGUUAUAUCAUUUUAUUAACUCUCUACUGGUUGUUGUUUAACUUCUAUCACCCCUUGUUUUUUUGCAUUCAUUUGGUUUGAGGAUCAAUAAGUUCAAGUCCAAACCUUUUCCUAUCUUCAACUUAUUAGGAGAUCUCUAUGAUGUGCACAUUGUUCAGGGCCGUUAUAACUUGACAUCCACUACCGAGCCAUCACAGAUUGCUAGUGUUGCACAUAACGAAACUGCGACGGAGGAAGUCAAUCAAAGCUUUUCUCAUCUUCUUGUUAAAUAGAGCCAAGGAGGACGCUCCCAAGAGGUCAAAGUGAAGGUGAGCGAAGUGAUCAAAACUUAUGAACUUCUGCUGUGAACUGAUAUGAAGAACUGUUAUGAAAUGCUGUCACGAUUCUCUUUCUUUAACCUAGAUGAUAUAUUCUUGUUUUAUUUGAUCCAAAGUCAUGGAAAAUGAUUUUGCUGUUGUUAAGAAAAUGGGUGAUGGUGUUGCAUCCUGAUGCUUGCUAGCCUUUGAUGUUCUUUGUUCAUAUGACAAUGAGGCUUGGAUGGAGUGUGUCCUUUGAGCAAUAAAAGAUUAUGCUUUUUUGCUUCCA